GUCAGAUGAUUUGAAUCUGUACGCUGAUAGUCUGUGAGGCAUAACACCUUAAUAGCAUGUUAGAGUUCUGAUGGCA